CUGGUAUGUACAGUACCAUAAUUUAAUUACAUUUUACUUUACAAACUUUACACAUUUCAGUUUCUAAAAUUUUAAAUUAACAAAAAUUAUUUCUUGUGUUAUUCAAAGUUACUCAGUUUUGUAGGGACUGUUUUGUUACUGCUUUUGUGCCCAGAAACCUUGACUCUAAAAUUCUGUGCUGUGCAAAAUAUGCACGAUUUUUAUCAUGCUUACUGCGUAGAAUUUUAUCUACUUGUUCCAGAAAUAAUACAUUAACCAAAAAGGAUUUAAUUGUUCAGACUUGUAAGAGGUUCUUCAAUUACAUAGACAGGUUUUUCUUAUAAAUGAAAAAAAAAAUCAAAAGAUUUUUUUAACAGUUCUUCUCAGAUUUAACUGUUGCCUUGAAUUACAGCCUAGUUUCUAAGCAGUGAAAUGUAAUGAUAAAGAGGGAUAUUUUAACAACAUAUUUCCGAAUGAAUGACUCAUUAUUUCAUUCUUUUGAGUAACCAUUGUUAAGGGUUGGGGGGAGAAGUAUGGACAAGACAUCACUGGGAAACAAAGGCCGUAACCACAGCAACAGACUUUGAUACACUUAAAAGGUGCAGCUGCCAGUGACAAAGAAAAACUUUUGUUACAUCUCAUUAUUUUCAGGCCAAGGUGGGAGGAAUAGAGCAUAAUAACUGUACAGUAGCAAUUUUUCUUCUAAUUAACCCAAAGCGGUUUACCUAAAAAUAACCAUCAAGUCAGUGCAAAAUGUGCCUGGUUCUUAAGACAACUUUUCAUUUAGAACUCUGAGACUAUUUUGGGAACUUCUCAAAGGAAAAAUAUGAAAUUUUUGUCAUUGUGUGCUACAUCCACUGCUCCUGAGGGACAACUUUAAACAUCUAUAAUUCAUUCAAUAUAGAAGUGAGCCAUGGUGGAGAAAUGUAUCACUCAAUUAGAUUAUAAACAUCCAUAUUAUGUUCCAAAUUGUUUACAUUGUCCUCCAUAAUGGAAUUCACCUCCAAAUUAUCUGAAAAAUAACUGGGAGUAAUUGAAUAUCAACCCAGGUCCUAUAUUGAUUAUGCAACUGUGUUAUAAAUACAAAUCAAAUUAAGAAAACCUGACAUUUCAGAGGCUGGAAUGAUCAACUUGUUUCUGUUGUUUACCUGACACAGAUUAUUGUUUGACAACAUUGUUACUAUGAAAAUCACACAUUCUUUUUGGUGUUUGAGUAUUUUUUAAAAAAAUAUAAAACUGCAAGUUUCAAUUACUGUUGCACUAGAACAAAUGCUUUUUUAUAUUGUAAUUUUAUAUUUAUGAUGUCAAAAAUAGAUUGAAUAUAUGUCAGUGUAACAGGGGUCAAAUACAAUCAAAGCAACAAAGAAAAUAAUUAGAAGCAUCAAUGUCAAAUUUAAUUUUUUAUCUUUUCCAAAGAAAUCAUAU
rnacentral:lncRNA from 1 species